GGGGGCGAAUGGCUUCGACGGGGACAGUAGGUAGAGAGUAGCAGGCAGGGUGGCAACCUUAAUAGCCAAAGCAAACAGUUCCCGAAGCACAGCUCGCUCUCGCUGCCUAAGAAAAGGUAGCGGCUCACCGGUGGCUUGGCCUCUGGGUUGCCGGAUGGGUUCAGAGACAGAGGUGUAGGGAAGGGUUCUUGCAGGGUGGAACCUUCCCGAAAGGAAAACCCUGCCUACCUUCGGGAGUUUGCAGGUGGACGCCCGAAGGUCAGUAGGAAAACACCUGCUAAGCCUGUAGAUGCUCUCUUGCCGGGCUGUCCUCGGACGGCGGUUCGAUUCCGCCCGCCUCCACCA
rnacentral:tmRNA from 1 species